GUCCGUGGAGGAUCAAUCCUACGGGUCGCAGCAGGGGGAAUAUUGCACAAUGGGCGAAAGCCUGAUGCAGCGACGCCGCGUGAGGGAUGACGGCCUUCGGGUUGUAAACCUCUUUCAGCAGGGAAGAAGCGAAAGUGACGGUACCUGCAGAAGAAGCACCGGCUAAAUACGUGCCAGCAGCCGCGGUAAUACGUAGGGUGCGAGCGUUGUCCGGAAUUAUUGGGCGUAAAGGGCUUGUAGGCGGUUUGUCGCGUCUGCUGUGAAAAUCCGAGGCUCAACCUCGGACUUGCAGUGGGUACGGGCAGACUAGAGUGUGGUAGGGGAGACUGGAAUUCUUGGUGUAGCGGUGAAAAAACAGAUAUCAGGAGGAACACCGAUGGCGAAGGCAGGUCUUUGGGCCACCCUGACGCUGAGAAGCGAAAACAGGGGAGCGAACAGGAUUAGAUACCCCCGUAGUCCUCCCGUAAACGUUGGGCGCUAGGUGUGGGAGUCAUUCCCCGAGUUCCGGCCCGCAGCUACGCAUAAACUAUCCGCCUGCUAGACUUAUGA
rnacentral:rRNA from 1 species